AAUUUUUUUUUUCAAUUAGCAUCGAAUAAGAGGGAAGGAAAAUAAUGUCGAAUGAGUGUUUUCAUUUCUAACGCUAAUAGGACUACGAUUGUCAUAGUUCUAUAGAAGAUAAUGGUUUAAUAAAUUCGUGUAUAAUAAAAUAUGUGAAGUUAAAGUGGUUAAGUGCCAUAUUCUGUGAAUGUAUUUAAGUAGGUGCAUGUAUAAGUAUGUGUGUUCAUACAGUACUGUCGCUAGUAUGUACAGUGUAUGUGUCUAGCUGUCAGUCAUACUGCGCAGUGUGACUAACAGUCGCCUGUACUGUGGUGUGUUUGUUGUAUUGCAGUCGCUAGAACUGCACAGUGUUUCUGUCGGGCAGAGUGUGGUAUGUGUAUGUUUUUUUUUAUUAUAGAGAGCAAAAAAAUACUGUUAAGUAACCUCAGGUUUGGAUCAACGACAUAGUAUGUCGGUUUCUUCUUGAUAAUCCAUACCAGUUAAAAAUUCCUCUUUCUCUCUUAGUCCCUCCUUAGUAUCCCUGUUGGGUGUGUAUAUGUAUGUGUGUGACAGACGUAGUUACUUUGUAAGAAACGUAGUCACUAGUACUGCGUAGUGUGCGUGUGUUUGUAAGAAACGUAGUCACUAGUACUGCGUAGUGUGCGUGUGUUUGUAAGAAAC